GCCGAAGUGGCGGAAUUGGUAGACGCGCAUGAUUCAGGAUCAUGUCGGGGCAACCCGGUGGGAGUUCGAGUCUCCCCUUCGGCACCA
rnacentral:tRNA from 1 species